rnacentral:rRNA from 1 species
GCUGAGAGGUGGAUGUGCCUGAAAGGGAACCGUAACAC